UAGUUUUUUGCUUAUCUGCCAUUCUAAAGAUCCUACAGUGAUCACGUUUAACUUGUGUUACAGGAAAACACAAUCAGAGCUCUUCAGGAAGUGCCCUCUGGAUCUGGCUGUGCAGAGGUCUUCAGGGAUCCCAGCGAACACCAUCUCUGUGGAGUGGCGGUGCCCACAGGCAGGGGGCAGCCAGCUGAGGAAUGAAGAUAACUUCCAUUCUGAUGAAAAGCGGAUUCAGCACAUAGUAUGGUAGGCAAGACAUGAAAAAUAAUGG
rnacentral:lncRNA from 1 species